rnacentral:rRNA from 1 species
GACGAACGCUGGCGGCGUGCUUAACACAUGCAAGUCGAACGGUAAGGCUCCAGCUUGCUGGGGUACACGAGUGGCGAACGGGUGAGUAACACGUGGGUGACCUGCCCUGCACUUCGGGAUAAGCCUGGGAAACUGGGUCUAAUACCGGAUAGGACCAUGGUGUGGAUACUGUGGUGGAAAGUUUUUUCGGUGUGGGAUGGGCCCGCGGCCUAUCAGCUUGUUGGUGGGGUAAUGGCCUACCAAGGCGGCGACGGGUAGCCGGCCUGAGAGGGUGGACGGCCACAUUGGGACUGAGACACGGCCCAGACUCCUACGGGAGGCAGCAGUGGGGAAUAUUGCACAAUGGGCGGAAGCCUGAUGCAGCGACGCCGCGUGCGGGAUGACGGCCUUCGGGUUGUAAACCGCUUUCGCCUGUGACGAAGCGUGAGUGACGGUAAUGGGUAAAGAAGCACCGGCUAACUACGUG